rnacentral:lncRNA from 1 species
CUUAAUCCCCUUGCAGGAGUUCUUUUGGCUGCAGUUUUUGUACCAAUGUCAGCUCCAGCUUCCAUUAGUAGAAGUGUAUGUGUUGCAGAGCUGUCAUGGUGUAUUCCUAAACUAAAACAAGUUUCUAGUAGAAUUCUCACUCAGUUUAAUGGGAACACAACAGGGUUAGUCAGGCUUUUGAAAACAGCAGUUUUACAAAAAGGGAACUCCUUAUUGCCACAAAACCCCAAGCAGACAAAAAGUACACACUGCAUCUGAACAUUUCUCUAAUGUUACAUACCUAAGUGAGAACAGAUCAAACUGUUGCAAAAGUGAAGAUAUUUUAAACAGAUUUGCUCAGAAGGCAAACACUGUGAAUAACUGAGAAGACUAUUUGUUUAGGCCAUGAUCCAUAAUGGAAUUGACCCAAUGGAAUCAAUGAUAACAUUGAUCAAGGAUAGUGGAAAGGUAUCAGUGAUAAUACUGAUCAAAGACAGUGGAACGAUAAAGUCAUGUCAAACUACUUUUUUUUUUUUUUUUUUUUUUUUUUUUCAGUUCAGGCAGAGGUAUUUGAAAAAUCCUGAAGAGUAAAUUUUCUUGGUUUUCAGGCAGAGUAGUCUUGCAAUGGCCCAAAAUCAGAUGACACCAUUACCAUUUAGAUGAACAGUAAAGAUGCUACAGUAAUGGAAUGAGGAUAAGGUUAAAAAGCAUAGCCACUAUGAAUAUGGAAAGCCCUUUAACUCUAUCUGAUGGCAUGGAUUUCUGUUGGCAUAUUCUUCAUAUACCUGGCCAAGGCAAAAGACUUGGGAAUGCGAGACCCAACAGUAUGAAUAACCAAUACCUGUCUAUCCUCUUCUGCUGCCAUCCCAGAAGACACUGCUUCGAACCCAGCAACCCAUCUUACAAGCACAAAACCCAUUGCUGCAGCCUAUGCUGCGGAUCCAGCUCAGUGCAAUGAAGUGCAGCCACCCAGGCCUGAAGGGCCAGCUGGCAUUUCAUCAAGAAAAGAUUCCUGGCAUCCAGCAACAGUUGACAGAUGCCAGUGGUCAACAGCAGGUAGUUUUUAUGUACAUAGGCUGAUUGAGGUCAAUCCUUUCUUUUGGCUUGAGAGGUCUCUGGACAGGUUCUUCAGGUAGUUUGCCUGACUCAUCUCUGCACUUUGUUUCACUGAAGUAAGACAGAAUUUAUUUCCCUUGAGAAGGAUAGUGGUCAGAUUUUUAUCCCAGCUGCUUAGGGUGGUGUCGGUGUUUAUCUCUCCAUCUUUACUUUUUAGUGCCAGUUCUCUCUAGGGAAAGUACAGUGAAAGUAAAUGGAAAUAAGGGAAUAUAUUUGCUGGUAAUGGGCAUCAUGUGUUUCAGGACAGAAAAUAUCUUCUGAGCUCUUUAACUGGAGUGGUUAAAGUCAAAUUUUCAGACGUUUAGGACACUCGUGUGUGGGAUCUCUUGGGAAACUUCCCUCAGAGAUAUUGGACUGAAUAAAAGCUGGGAGGCAUUCA